rnacentral:rRNA from 1 species
GUCCUUUAGAAUAGAAUUUAAGGUCUAACCUGCCCACUGAGGAAUUUAACGGCCGCAGUAUUUUGACUGUGCAAAGGUAGCAUAAUCAUUAGUUUUUUAAUUGAAAGCUUGUAUGAAUGGUUGGACGAGAUAUAAACUGUCUUUAAAUUAAAAAUAGAAUUUAAUUUUUAAGUUAAAAAGCUUAAAUAAAAUUAAAAGACGAGAAGACCCUAUAAAUCUUUAUAAAUUUAUUUGUUUAAUUUUUUAGGAUUAAUAAUUUUUAUAUAAAUAAAUUUAUUUUAUUGGGGUAAUAAAAAGAUUUAAUAAAUUCUUUUUAAAUUUUACAUUGAUUAGUGAGUUUAAUGAUCCUAUAUUAUAGAUUAUAAGAUUAAGUUACUUUAGGGAUAACAGCGUAAUUUUUUUAGAGAGUUCUUAUCGAUAAAAAAGUUUGCGACCUCGAUGUUGGAUUAAAAUUAAUUUUAGGUGUAGAAGUUUAAAUUUUUAGUCUGUUCGACUAUUAAAAUUUUACAUGAUCUGAGUUCAAACCGGUGUAAGCCAGGUUGGUUUCUAUCUUUAUUUAAAUAUAAUAUUUUAGUACGAAAGGACCAAGUAUUAAAUAUGAAAUAUUUUUUUUAUUGAAUAAAAUUAAUAUUUA